rnacentral:rRNA from 1 species
UACGAGGGGGGCGAGCGUUGUUCGGAAUUAUUGGGCGUAAAGGGUGCGUAGGCGGUUCCGCAAGUCCUGUGUGAAAUCUUCGGGCUCAACUCGAAGUCUGCACGGGAAACUGCGGGGCUUGAGUGUGGGAGAGGUGAGUGGAAUUCCCGGUGUAGCGGUGAAAUGCGUAGAUAGUCGGGAGGAACACCUGUGGCGAAAGCGGCUCACUGGACCAUAACUGACGCUGAUGCACGAAAGCUGGGGGAGCAAACAGG